rnacentral:tRNA from 1 species
GGAGGGGUGCCGGAGUGGUCGAACGGGGCGGUCUCGAAAACCGAUUACGGUUGUAGUGCCCCGUCCCGGAUGAUCCCCAACAGUCCCCGAUUUUCAGGGGGUUGCGGCUCCCCUCGA